rnacentral:misc_RNA from 1 species
AAAAUAAAAAUAAAAAAAAAUAAAUUUCUGCAAUUACUAUUCCUGUGCAAUUUUAAGUAUCUAUCCUUUUUGGCUUUUCUGGUUGGCAAUCGGUUAGAAGUGUGCCAGCUGCAUAUUUCAGAAUUUUAACAUAAUUUUCUGCUGGUCUAGGAUUAAUGAUAGGCACAAGUUCAUAAUGUAGGUCGUGUAAUAUGAGGUCAGUUGAUUAAUUGAUAAUGAAAUUUUACAAAUAAAUUGCCAGAGACUUAUCUUGGUGUAGAAUAUAUUAUCCUAUCUGUCGACUUGUGUUGUUAAGGUGGCCAACAACAAGAAUAUUUGGGAUUUAAGUUUUGGACUCCAGGAAGGCAUGAUCUAGGGUUUGUA